CAAACCAGCUAACAAGCAUGGAAUUUACCAAUGAUGAAAAUUCAUCGUAUAUGGAAUAUAAUUAUGAAUUUGUAAAGAACCGAUGGAGGAGUCUUCGAUAUCGAUAUAUAAAGGAGAAAAAAAGUCUAUAACAAAAAGUGGACAAGCAGCUACUCAAUUUUCUCCAUGGUCACUUAUGGCAAGUUUAAGUUUUUUAUCAGAUGUGGUGGAACCUCGCAAAACUAUAACAAACUGUGAAAGUUUUAAUAUUGAACGCCCCUCACUCAUCGAUACGUUGUCACCAGCA